rnacentral:rRNA from 1 species
GACGAACGCUGGCGGCGUGCUUAACACAUGCAAGUCGAACGGAAAGGCCCUGCUUUUGUGGGGUGCUCGAGUGGCGAACGGGUGAGUAACACGUGAGUAACCUGCCCUUGACUUUGGGAUAACUUCAGGAAACUGGGGCUAAUACCGGAUAGGAGCUCCUGCUGCAUGGUGGGGGUUGGAAAGUUUCGGCGGUUGGGGAUGGACUCGCGGCUUAUCAGCUUGUUGGUGGGGUAGUGGCUUACCAAGGCUUUGACGGGUAGCCGGCCUGAGAGGGUGACCGGCCACAUUGGGACUGAGAUACGGCCCAGACUCCUACGGGAGGCAGCAGUGGGGAAUAUUGCACAAUGGGCGGAAGCCUGAUGCAGCAACGCCGCGUGCGGGAUGACGGCCUUCGGGUUGUAAACCGCUUUCGCCUGUGACGAAGCGUGAGUGACGGUAAUGGGUAAAGAAGCACCGGCUAACUACGUGCCAGCAGCCGCGGUGAUACGUAGGGUGCGAGCGUUGUCCGGAUUUAUUGGGCGUAAAGGGCUCGUAGGUGGUUGAUCGCGUCGGAAGUGUAAUCUUGGGGCUUAACCCUGAGCGUGCUUUCGAUACGGGUUGACUUGAGGAAGGUAGGGGAGAAUGGAAUUCCUGGUGGAGCGGUGGAAUGCGCAGAUAUCAGGAGGAACACCAGUGGCGAAGGCGGUUCUCUGGGCCUUUCCUGACGCUGAGGAGCGAAAGCGUGGGGAGCGAACAGGCUUAGAUACCCUGGUAGUCCACGCUGUAAACGGUGGGUACUAGGUGUGGGGUCCAUUCCACGGGUUCCGUGCCGUAGCUAACGCUUUAAGUACCCCGCCUGGGGAGUACGGCCGCAAGGCUAAAACUCAAAGGAAUUGACGGGGCCCCGCACAAGCGGCGGAGCAUGCGGAUUAAUUCGAUGCAACGCGUAGAACCUUACCUGGGUUUGACAUGGAUCGGGAGUGCUCAGAGAUGGGUGUGCCUCUUUUGGGGUCGGUUCACAGGUGGUGCAUGGCUGUCGUCAGCCCGUGUCGUGAGAUGUUGGGUUAAGUCCCGCAACGAGCGCAACCCUUGUUCACUGUUGCCAGCACGUUAUGGUGGGGACUCAGUGGAGACCGCCGGGGUCAACUCGGAGGAAGGUGGGGAUGACGUCAAGUCAUCAUGCCCCUUAUGUCCAGGGCUUCACGCAUGCUACAAUGGCUGGUACAGAGAGUGGCGAGCCUGUGAGGGUGAGCGAAUCUCGGAAAGCCGGUCUCAGUUCGGAUUGGGGUCUGCAACUCGACCUCAUGAAGUCGGAGUCGCUAGUAAUCGCAGAUCAGCAACGCUGCGGUGAAUACGUUCCCGGG